CCUACGGGGGGCAGCAGCUAAGAAUAUUCCGCAAUGGACGAAAGUCUGACGGAGCGACGCCGCGUGGAUGAAGAAGGCCGAAAGGUUGUAAAGUUCUUUUGCUAGGGGAGAAUAAGUGAGGGAGGGAAUGCCCUCAUGAUGACAAGGACUAGCGAAUAAGCCCCGGCCAACUACGUGCCAGCAGCCGCGGUAACACGUAGGGGGCGAGCGUUGUUCGGAAUUACUGGGCGUAAAGGGCAUGUAGGCGGCUUGGUAAGCCUGGCGUGAAAGACUGCAGCUUAACUGUAGGGAUGCGUUGGGAACUGCUUAGCUUGAGUUACGGAGAGGGAGCUGGAAUUCCUGGUGUAGGGGUGAAAUCUGUAGAUAUCAGGAAGAACACCGAUGGCGAAGGCAAGCUUCUGGUCGAUAACUGACGCUGAGGUGCGAAAGUGUGGGGAU
rnacentral:rRNA from 1 species